rnacentral:lncRNA from 1 species
GUACUAAUGAACAAGGGCUUAGGAGUCAGGAGGCGGGGUUCAAAUCCUUGCUCAGCUACUAUGUGACCUUGGCCAACUUCCUUCCAUGGCUCUCCAUUUCCUCAUCUAUCAAACAAAGAUUGUACAAACAAGUCCAACAAACCCACCAUUAUGCCCAUCCUGGCCCAUGAAAGCAAGCCCUCUGCUCUAGCCAAAAUUGGAAUCAUCAGCCUGAGACCCUGCUCCCCCUCCUAUGGCCCUAUCCUAUCCUGAUCAGACUGCACUAGAAUUCUCCCUGGUUCUGAGCUCUGCACUUCUUACCCUGUCCCGGAUGACUGCUCUUCCACCCCCUGAUUUCUCCGUCCUCCUGAUUUUCCUGAGGAGAUGGACCAGCUCUUUGGAGCUGGGGUAUGGGAUCCUCUCUGGCAGCGUGCUGCAGGACAAAGGUGGCUUCAACAGAAGUGCAGGGAAAACAAUUGUUACCAGAGGAAAGAAUUCUAAUUCUCAUGGAGCAAAACCUGUGACCUGGCUCUGCUGAGCUGCAAUGGAAGCUGGGAAAAGGGAGUAUCUCACUCAACCUGGUUCUGUGGCUUCCAAACAAACCUGCUUUGACAAUCAAGGAGGAAAGGAAUCAUGAAUAUUGGCUGGGACUGUAGAGAACACUAUCUAUCUAUCAAGGCUGACAAGUCAAUUGUGAGAAUCAUUCCACCAGGUCUCUAUAAAAAUAUCCGGUGUGAGAACUUUUCAAAGAGAAUUCUUCAAAACUCAAAUCAGCCUGAGGAUCUGGGUCAUGGUGUUUGGGUGACGCGGAGAGGAAGCAGGGAGAGAGGCUGUGGGGAGAGGCCCUGCCCAACAGCCCAGGGAGCUUCCGCUGUUGUUCUGCGCCCUUCCCACGACCUGCUCCGACGAACUGCACAAACUUGAGUCCGUUGGCCUUUCGGGGGUCUCAGUUUUCACAGCAAUAAAUGCGGGGCGGGGGGAAUAAAAAUAAAUAAAUAAAUGCAG